AGAUGGGACAAGAGCAUCUUCUACAAUGGAGUUGAUCAGAUUAACUCCAUGAAUUUCAUCAUUUUCAUUGUCAUUAUCAGGUUGUUUGCAAAUGUUAAAUAUAUUAAAAUCUAUAGUCAUAUUCCCGAAUGACAUUUUCAUUAUUCCAUUUCGAUAGUUGAUCAAAACAUUGGAAGUAGCUUGAAAUGGGCGGCCUAAAAUGACAGGUAUUGGAGUGGUACAAUUCAUGACAGGCUGGGUAUCUA
rnacentral:lncRNA from 1 species